UUGUGGGUUAAGAUCAGGAGAUCAGUCAGCAGUUACUGUCACAGGCAAAACAGACUCAACUUGGUGAAAUUAGCUUAAUUUACUACCAGUCAAAUCAGAGGUAGGAUAAUAAGAAAUUAAAAAAUAAAU